GGUCCCAAGGGUUGGGCUGUUCGCCCAUUAAAGCGGUACGCGAGCUGGGUUCAGAACGUCGUGAGACAGUUCGGUCCCUAUCCGUCGUGGGCGUAGGAAAUUUGAGAGGAGCUGUCCUUAGUACGAGAGGACCGGGAUGGACGCACCGCUGGUGUACCAGUUGUUCUGCCAAGGGCAUAGCUGGGUAGCUAUGUGCGGAAGGGAUAAGUGCUGAAAGCAUCUAAGCAUGAAGCCCCCCUCAAGAUGAGAUUUCCCAUAGCGUAAGCUAGUAAGAUCCCUGAA
rnacentral:rRNA from 1 species